rnacentral:piRNA from 1 species
AUAAGAUAGCCUUGUGAGUGCAGUAGG